rnacentral:rRNA from 1 species
GAAUUGAACGGCUGGCGGCAUGCCUUACACAUGCAAGUCGAACGGUUAACAGGUCUUCGGAUGCUGACGAGUGGCGAACGGGUGAGUAAUACAUCGGAACGUGCCCGGUCGUGGGGGAUAACGCAGCGAAAGCUGCGCUAAUACCGCAUACGAUCUGAGGAUGAAAGCGGGGGACCGUAAGGCCUCGCGCGAUCGGAGCGGCCGAUGUCAGAUUAGGUAGUUGGUGGGGUAAAGGCUCACCAAGCCGACGAUCUGUAGCUGGUCUGAGAGGACGACCAGCCACACUGGGACUGAGACACGGCCCAGACUCCUACGGGAGGCAGCAGUGGGGAAUUUUGGACAAUGGGCGCAAGCCUGAUCCAGCCAUGCCGCGUGCAGGAUGAAGGCCUUCGGGUUGUAAACUGCUUUUGUACGGAACGAAAAAGCUCUCUCUAAUACAGGGGGUGAAUGACGGUACCGUAAGAAUAAGCACCGGCUAACUACGUG